ensembl:lncRNA
AUGAUUAACUUUCAGAGAAUCAUACCUUUUGGCUCUUGGCCACAAACAUUUAAUAGUAGGUCAGGCUUGCUGGAGCUGCUUUCCUGCCCAGAGCUGAACUGGUGUUUUCCUUCAACUAGUGGCAUCGGGUUCCCGCCUGGAGCACCCCAAGAUGGCAGCCGGUCUCUGGAGGACACCGGUCCAGAGGCCAGUAGAUUCAAGGAACAUCAAAACAUGGAUGCUGGAAAGCAGAGACGGCUUUAUUUUCAGUUUGGCGCAGCUUUUUCAAUAGGUCAAUGAUCCAUGAACUAGGAAGGAUUUACAGAUAUGCCAAUGAUGGCAUCAGAGUAG